ensembl:snoRNA SNORD5 small nucleolar RNA, C/D box 5
GUUCAGAUGAUGAAUUUAACUUGUUCAACUGCUGACGGAUACAGUCAUGAACGAAAGUUUAAUUCUGACAGAU